AGCACCCCUCCCAGGAAAUACCAUGGGCUCAGAAAAAUUUACUGCACAGUAACAUAGCAGUGUUCCAUGGGAGUGCUCCCACAACAGAUGGAACCAUAAUUCAUACUGUGUGUUCAAACAAAGGAGCAAGGAACUCUUGCACUUCACUCCUGGAAAAAGCACUGCAAAGUAUAUUUUCCCGUGUGUCUAACAGGUAAAGGCUGAUUCUGCCUGCUGUACUCUUCCAGAGGCCUGGACUGAGAGAAUAUUUCCUAAAGCAUCCCUGCAAGUGUCCAAGGCCAGGCUGGAUGGGGCCCUGUGCAGCCUGGCCUUGCACAUGAAGAGGGGUUAGGAACUAGAUGAUCUUUAAGGUCCUUUCCAACCCAAACUAUUCUAUGAUUCUGUGAAAGCAUCACACACAUGGAGUGCUAACCCUCCUUUCCCCCGAGCAAACAAAAGCUGUUUGCUAUUCUGGAAGAAAAAAAACCAAAAACAACAACAAACCAAACAAACAGAACAAAACAAUCAGAUGGAAAGAAUCUGAAAUAUUCAUAUAAUGGUUGACUUACAAGAGGCAAUGUAAAGAGGAGCUUUAUGUUAGACAAAACUCAGCCACAUGGAAACUAAAAUAUUGGGUCACUACCCUCAAGUCCGGUCUAAAACAGUCCCUGAGUCUCUAAACACAACCCUAAAAAACAUCCUGUGCUGCACCUCAGCUGUCAUUCUGUACAACAGGGCCAGGUUUUCUUCCAGGAACACCAGGUCCAGAGGCCAGGAGGCUCUUGUUGUAUUUGCACAUACUAGUCCCUUUUGUUGGGGGAUUUAGGUCACAAGAGCGUAGGAAAGGCAGCUCUGAAUCACCUGGCUCUUGCACGUGUUGCUUGCACGUUGUGCAAAUGUUUCUGAACUCAACCUCAUUUCAAGACACACCCUUUGUUUGUUACUUUCUCUUAGGGCUUUUUCGCAACCCCAUCCACUGCCAACACAAACAAGGUUGCAACAUCUCCCUCCAGUCUGUCUUCCUCUGCUCUGCUCUAAAUGUCAACCAGCCACAUAGCACUGCUCACUUGCUUAAUUGGGCAAAAUACCUGCUCUGGAUGCCCUGUGCCUUGACUGCCUCCGGGAGAAAGUUUCUUGGGAAUGGUGUGACUCAUUGCACAGCCAGAGGUUAUAAUGAAGUAUCCCACUCAUCCUUUAGCUCGCCCUUUGUUGAAGACAAUGCAGAUUGCGGAAGGUUUCUGAGGAGGAGUAUCUGGGAUGAGCUGCUGGGAAGAAGGGAGAAGGAGCACAGUUCUAUUGGAAAGAAUAUCUUGCUGCUGAUUAUGAAAAUGAUGUGGAAGUCAUGGGCUGAAUUAAAUAUUUUUCCAUAUUGGAAAAUUGAUGGGAAUGCUCCCUGGUAUCAACAGCUCAUGUGAAGCAGAGGAAGAGAUCUUUUUAUUACAGAAGAGGAGUGCCAAAAUCCAGAGCUAUUCUGAAUCAAUUUGCUCUUUUAAUUAUCUUGUACAGACGUCUGUCUGUGCAGCAGAAAUGCUGAGCUCAUGCUACAUGAAAACAAACCACAUAAACUUGAGGAGAUACAAACACAAUUUGUUCCUAACAGAAGGCACUUACAAAGCCACACACCUCAGUGUCCUGGCAACUCCCUCCCCAGAGGGAAAGAUGCAUGUCCUAUGUCCAGUCUGAGUACCCUGGAGCAGUGAAAGGCAGGGGCAGAGCUACUGGGGUUCUUGUUUUUUUUAAAGCUGCAACAUGGAGCUGUGGUAAUGCCAAACGUGUCCCUGGUCUGCUCUGUCUCACUGCUGGGGGGAAGGAACUGUGACUCAAAGGCUGUCCACUGGCAACACAGAAAACUAAACCAAGAGCACUGGUUCAGCUCUGCCAUAUCCAAUUUCUGUCAAGUAUAGAAUAAUAGCUACCCAGCGAGCUGGGACAUGCUUCACCAGCAUCAAUAGAGUUGUGCUUCAGCGCAUCCCUCGAGGUAGCAAAGAAUUAUCCCCAUUUUAUAAAUGAGGUAACUCAGGCACAGGGAUUAAAGCCAGAAUGUUCCAAACUGGCUGCCUACUGCUAGGUACCUACACCCAUAUUUACGCAACUCGUGGCCUGAUUUUCAGAAGGGCAGGGCAAUGAAAAUUUUGGCCUGAGGGAUUUGUUCACACACAGUUUACUGGUAGCAACGCCCAGGAUGGAAACCUGGUCUCUGCUACCUGUCUUGAGCCUUAACCACUGAAAACAUCCUUUCUACCACUAGCCAAGAGUUGGUGAAGGCUCCUGACUGUCCCUGUUUGCAAUGCAGAGAUUCAGAGUUAGCAAUGCAGGCUGGCUGCCUACGUGCUCUCAGCUAGAGACUUUUAAAGAGCAACAGCAGGAGUAAAACUGGUGAGAUUUCUUUGUUUCCUCCUCAGCUCUUCAGAGCCCAGGCAGCUUUGCUUGACUUGCAGUGCUUUGUUACCCACCAGCACGUCUGGUGUGUAAACCUCUGUUCUGCCUCACACAUGGCAUCAUCUCCCCCUCUGUCCCUUCACCAUGUCCUGCUCAGGACACCUCAGCCUGGCAGAGCACAGAUCCAGUGCAGAACCCGUAACAGAUCCAUAAGAGAAGUAAGAAAACUGGCCAGAUGGAUAUCUGAACUCCUCAAAAGCACAAGUACCAACAGGAACAAGUUAAUCCCAGUGCCCCCUCACCUUUCUUCUACACUCUCUUUCUGGUCUUUACUUGGCCUCAGAAAUAGCCCUGAUUUAUUGGAAAGUCUUGAGAAGCAAGAAAAUGUAGUAAAAAACCUAAUCCCACACUAUAAACUAGCAAAACCCAGGAGGCAGAGCACUUGCUGGCCGGCUACAAUAGAGCUUUGCAAGUGUCCCUGUUAAAAUCAUCCCUGCUAGGGGCUAAUGUGAUGCUUGUCUUAGCUUGUUAGAGAGCCUUGCUGUCUUUAGACACGUACUUGAAAAACAGCACUGCUGGUUGGUUGCUACCUGAGGGAAGAAGGACAAAGGAUCUCAGCUGUCUCUGUGGAAUGGUCACUGGUCAGGUCACCUCAAGCCUGACCUGCAAUACCAAGUGCAUGCUGCAAAUCCAUUGCUGUCAGCCCUUGUGCUUUGUCUCAUCGAUGGAGUCCCAGCCACCUCUGACCUCUUCUUUCCCUUCCUUCAGGCCAUGUCCUGCUCACAGGGCUCCUGCUCAGCUGCUCUGCAGCUUCCCCCCACCCGGAGGGAGGACAGGCGAGAGGAGGUGACAACCCUCAGCAAAGGUUAAGGCUGGAAAAGAAGGAAGUGUCAGCUCAAUCAGGUCAGCUCAGCCAACAACUGCUGCUGUAAUCCCUCUGCCUCAGGUCCCUGUGCUGCUCUGCUCAUGCUCUGGACGCUGCUGUAUGAGCAGCAGCCUUGUCCCCAUGGUACUGUCAGCCUGCACCAUCCAGACAGGGAGAUGGGGAAAAGGGGUAAAGAGGAAGCAGCUGAUCAUGAGAAUCUCCUAGAACUGUUUCCAGAUCCUCCUUUUGCAGUGUGUUUUGGGAGCAUGGAUUUUGAGAUGGACUUUACUCCUACUGAAGUUGGGAAGUCCAGACUCAGCACCCUCUGAUUUCUCCAGAAGAAGGCUGAAAGCUAGAUCUAAAUCAAUUCUUAUGCUGCAGCUCAUCUCCAUACUCACAGCAAACCCAGAAGCUUUGAGAAGCUGGCAGUGACAUGGCCCCAGUUCCUUCUGCCCAGGUCUAAGGUACCUCUUUUGGGAUGGGAACAACUGAGUCUCACCCAUCUGUCAGCAACCAGGAGGAAGCCAGGGAACAAAUGCCUCCUAUUCAAUAAAAGUUGGUGCUGCACUUUAUACAGCAACCAGUGCUAUUGGUGGUGAAAACAAAUCCUAUUCUUCUCUGCCAGAUAAACACACUUUAUCCUAUAAAGAGCAGCAUUUCUGACUGUUCAGCAGCAGCCAAACUCACUAUGGGAAAAAUAACAGGUGUUUGUAAGACACUCCCUGUUUAUUCACAGUGCCUAAAAUAAUUGCUUAAAAAAAUCCAACAGAGAUUUAAUUUUCUAUGCUCCCACAUUUAAAAAAACAAAAACAAAAAAAACCCCUAAGCUUGGCUCAUGGUAGUUGAAGGCAAUUCAUUAUGAAAGGGGUGUUCUUUCUGUUGUGGUAGCAAAGAAACCUACUUAUGAAAGCUCCUGAGGAGCAGAAUAGCAAAGCAAAUUCCUGCCUAGAACCAGUACUUCCCUCUGCUUCUCAUUAAGCCCUCCAGGUGGAAGCUUUUAUUAUCAAAACAUGUGAUUUUAUUGUCAAAAUGAGAUGAGCAGGGAUUAAGCUCCUCCAGUGGGUGCCCAUCAUUGACCAUCUCCAAUAUUGCCUUUUGUAAGGCAACAAUGGCCUUGGGCUGGCUUAUGCCCUUCCCUCUUGUUCUGGUGGUGGAACAGGAGAUAAAUGCACUGCUCCAGUGGGAAAAGUGUGUCUCAGAGGCACAAACCUUUCUCCAAUCCCUGCUUGCUUCUCCGGGAAAUAGCUGGCAGUGGAUCUUGAUCAAUAGAGCACUUUCCAGCGUGAUGGGCUGACACACGGUGCUGCAGGAGGAGGACAGACACUCCCUGUCUCCAUCCACUCUCCCCAUGCUUACAGCAUGGAUGGGGACAUCCCUGAGCCACUCAGCGGGUGAGGGGACACCCAGUGCACAGCUGCUGGUGGUAUUUGAUCCUUGUGGUGGUGGAUAAAGUCCCUGCAGGAGCCACUCAGGAGAAUGUAGCAUCAUUCCUGAGGGCUGCAAGCUUCAUGAGACAACGAUUACAGUGCUCCUCUGUCCUCAGGACUUUCCCUUCCCUUUCCCAGGGUACAGCUCUCCUUGAGUCCAGCCCCUCGCAAGCUUUUGGGAUAAGUCACAGAUGCUCGGUAGCUCCCUGGGAACCUGGAGAGAGCCUGGAGCAAUAGGAGCCCACCUAGCAGCACCCCAGCGCUGUCCCAACCCCCAGAUGCUGCUCCUGGUGGCUCCUGGACUGCAGUCCAGGUCACGGGUGGGUGCAGACACAGCCUGCCCCUUGCCGGGGAACAUGGGACCUAGACAACCUAUUGCUGGGAGUAAAACACAGCCACAUUUUAGACUUUGCUGCUCCUACAAAAGUGCAGGAAGGCUUACACAACCCAAACCGGCUUUCUGGGGGGGCUCACUUGUCUCUGAGCAGUGGACACGAGAGGCAGAUGGGGUUUGUGCAGACAGGGGCUGAGCAGGGCUCACGGCGGUGGGUAUCGUCUGUGCUAGGCUGCACUCCCAGCUGAGACCGGGCUGUCGCGGCUCCUCACACACAGCGGCCUCCGGCCUGAGCAAAAGAGACAGAUAAAGCCAGAAAAAGAAACAGAGGCGCAGGGGAGAGCGGUCAUUUCCCAGGGGUUAGGCAAGGGAGCGGCGUGGGUCGGUGUGGGGCAGGGCAGGGUGCCACCGGCAGGGAUGCAGCAGCGACGUGCGCCCUGCACAGGGAUGGGCAGGGAGCAGCCCCGAAAGGGCAGCCCCGCAGGCAGAGAGGAGAGGAUGAAAGGAGGCGGCUGCAGCGCGUAGCGGGGCAGGAUGAAAGGGCUCAGAGGCCGGAGGAGCAGAGAGACGGCAGUGACUCAAAAAGCAGAGCCAGAGGCAGCGGCGCACGGAGCCGCUCCGCGUUAGGCACAAAGGAGCGCGGCAGCAGAGCGCGGGGUCCGAGAGCAGCCCCGAGAUCAAACCAAACCCAUCCCAGAGAGACUGGAGGUGUCUGAGCAAUAAAGGAGCUCACACUGCUCCAGCGCCGGCAGCUCGGGGCAUGCAGGGCAAGGCAGGGCUUUGUGCACACAAAUGAAGCACAGCAGAGUCCUCUGUACCGGCCUGGGCAAACAGCACGGGGAUGGGAAAGAUGGAUAGGAUAGGAUAGGAUAGGAUAGGAUAGGAUAGGAUAGGAUAGGAUAGGAUAGGAUAGGAUAGGAUAGGAUAGGAUAGGAUAGGAUAGGAUAGGAUAGGAUAGGAUAGGAUAGGAUAGGAUAGGAUAGGAUAGGAUAGGAUAGGAUAGGAUAGGAUAGGAUAGGAUAGGAUAGGAUAGGAUAGGAUAGGAUAGGAUAGGAUAGAAUAGAAUAGAAUAGAAUAGAAUAGAAUAGAAUAGAAUAGAAUAGAAUAGAAUAGAAUAGAAUAGAAUAGAAUAGUUAAGAUUGUAAAGGACCUCUAAAGUCACUGAGUUCAACCAUUAACCUGACACUGCCAGAUCUGCCACUAAACCAUGUCCCUAAGCAGCAUUACUAUGCAUUUUCUGAUUACUUUUCAGGACAGUGAUUCCACCACUUCCCUGAGCAGCCUGUUUCAAUAUUUGACAACCCUUUCGGUGAAGAAACUUUUCUUGCUAUCCAAUCUAAAUCUCCCCUGGAGCAACUUAAAGCCAUUUCCUCUUGACCUAUCAUUUGUCACCUGAGAGAAAAAAAUUGACCCUCACCUGUCUACAACAUUCAGUUAUUGUAGGGAGCAAUAAAGUCCCCCCAAACUUCCUUUCUUUCAGACUAAACAACCCCAGCUCCAUCAGCUCCUCCUUCUUAGAUUUGUGCUCCACUAAGACAAGUGCUUCUCCAGACAACAAGAAGCAGCAAAUGCCCUUUUUUAGGCAGGAUCUUAGAGAAAAAAUCUAGACUUGAAGCUUGUACCUUUUCUUUGGUGCCUGUCAGGCACCAAAACCCAUGAAACCUUAUUCAAGAAGGUAAAACCCACACAAAGUGGCAUUUCCAAGGUACCCAGUGCCUUUAGCUCCGGAUCAAUCUGUCAGCAUGCCCCUGGGGCACAUCUACGUGCCUUUCCUCCUUUGCCAGGCAGGCAGUGACUGACCCUGUGCAACAUUUCACCUCCACUGGAGCGAUUCUGGUGACUCAGCGCUUCCCCUGCAAGCCACUGCGAGGGCCCUGCUCCAGUGAGGGGAUUGUAGCAGCAACCCAAGCACAAUAAUGGUGUGGCUGAGCAGCAGGGAUUUAUUUAUGAGCAGGCAAGGAAAGUGAGAGUUAUAGGUGGCCAGUCCCUAUGACAGAACCACCAUAUAUUUCCUCCAACAAAGCGUGUGACAACAGCUCCAUAAAUUCACAUAGUAACAGAAGCGAGCGCCAGCUCAUCAUUGCAGCUAUUUAAGGAGCCAAGUAGCACUCUGUGCUUAUUGCAGAAGUUCACAGUUAGUUAAAAAUAAGCAUUAAAAAAGUCACUUUUGGGCCCUGGCUGAAUAAGGCUUUUUAUUCACGAUGCCCAGCAUUGCGUUCUGUCUCUUCUCCUUUUAUGCCUACACAGACUUUCUGGCAGAAUUUCGUGUUAGGCACUGUCAGCUUCCUUCUGAAGGAGCUUAACUUAGGAUGUGCCAUAAUCAAUUGUAAAACUUAGCAGUGACUAUGAAAUACUUGAUCCUUUUCAAUACCAGCAGAUCUCAGAUGUGCUUUAAAAAUUCUUUAGCUCCAGCCCAUUAAAUAUCUAAGGAGAGCUUCCUUGAGAUGGAAUUGCUGAAGAGAAUAACCCCGAGAUCCACAACAUGCUGAAUAGGUUUUUUUAAUGCUGUCUCAUGAUCAGAUUAUUUGCAGUACCUGUCAGCUAAUGUGCUGUUUUCAUUGCUAAUGUAACACUUCUUCCUAAAGGGAGAAGGGGGAGAGGGUGAAAACAACUCUUCACAGUGAACUGGAAAUCAAAAAAUAGCUGUGUGUUUUGUUGUCACUUCUGCUACUCUCUUUUCUGACGUAUAAAGAAAAGCUCACUUUAAUAUGACUAACUCUCCUUUAAACAUGAGAAAUACCAAGUUUCUCUGAAUCCCAUGGCUUUUAUUCUUUUUUCUUGAAGCUUUAGGCAAAAUUUGAAAGAGACAUCUCAGCUAGAAAGAAAAGUUGGAACUUUCUUAGGUUAAGGCUUAACUCCAGCAGUGAUUGGAAUGUAAUCUCCCUAUAAGAAAAAAAAUUGGCAUCUCAGGGAAAAAAACUGAAAGAUAAGAAAUGGAAAUUAAGGCUUGCUGUCUGGGAAGCUGGAGCUCUAGGGCCCCAUUCUCCCCCAGAGCCUGCUGUCCUGCUCAGACUUGGUUUUCCAUGAGCACCUGGCACUCCUGCCCAUUUAUCCCCUUUUCUUGGGAGCCUUUCCUGAAGUCAGGACAACAGGUUGGAAACCUGUCCUUGGAGUCUGAUGAGGACUUGGUGUGUGUGCAGUAAAAAUUUGCCAAGGCAUAUCCUAUGACAUUUUCCCAUGGUCAAAAUUAUUCAGAUUAGGAAGAGAGAGGAGAUUCUUGUUUGGUUGGUUUAGUUAGAAGGUGAUGUUUUGUACAGAAAUGACAUAACUUUGGAGGGAAAAAAAUAAGGUUACCCAAGAGCCAGUUUAAAAGAAAAGUGUUGAAUGGAAAAUUUUCAGCCAGCCCCACACAGAUCCCUUCUUUAUCUCUAGGAUUGGAAAAGCUGCUGAGCUGCUGCUCUGCUCUCUGUGGUAGCUGGUGUCACGUUGCACGCUCCUCCAAGGGUAGCAGAUUGCUUAUGCAUUAGUUCUUUUGCAUAAUACCAGCAAUUAUAGUGGGUUUGGGUGUUUGAGGGUUUUUUAUACACACAUUGUUUGCUGCUAACAAACUCAGGAAGGAAAUUUACGGUCUUGAAUGGGGAGUGAGGUCUGUGAGACGUCCCCGGCAGGACUGAGCUGCUGAACCUUGCAGUGACUCAGCCAGCACAGGAAACGUUUGUUCUGAGCAGCCCCAUCUCCUGUCCCCCUCUGCUCCAUGCACAAGGUUUAUAAACAGGCCAUGGUAGUUUCUUUUAAUUCUGCUUUUGGGGUUGUUUUUCAUUCUUUUUCUUGGAGUGUUUCAUUGCUUUCUGUGUACAAGGUUAUUUAUUAGAAAUAAACAACAUUAAAUGGACAACGUGCUUGAGCAGAAAGACUUGGGGAGGGGAUCCUCAGCUUUUGUGGUAGAGCAUUACUACUCUUGGUUGGAUGCUGUCAUACUGGUUAUGUUAAAUUAAAUGUCCUUGUUCUCCACCUCUGUUCACACCUUGGAGACCAAAUAUUGCACACAAAAUUGGAGGGCUCCCCAUGAGAGAACAGGGCUCAGACAAGAGGGUACAGCAAACACAGAGGACAGAGAGAAAAACCAUAAAUAAAAGAUCAGUGUGGGGUUUCAUGCAGAGAUCUCCAUCUACAUUUUUAUAUUUCUAUCUGACAGUAGCUCUUCCUGUUCAGCAAAUUCACCUCACCUCAUCGUUCCCAGACCUGACAUGUAACGAAACCAAUUAAAAUACUUGUUAACUUAAAUAAAUAAACAGAGACAUGCAGAAG